rnacentral:rRNA from 1 species
UACGGGGGGAGCAAGCGUUGUUCGGAUUUACUGGGCGUAAAGGGCGCGUAGGCGGCCACCGCAAGUCGGUUGUGAAAUCUCCGGGCUUAACCCGGAAAGGUCAACCGAUACUGCGGGGCUAGAGUGCAGAAGGGGCAACUGGAAUUCUCGGUGUAGCGGUGAAAUGCGUAGAUAUCGAGAGGAACACCUGCGGCGAAGGCGGGUUGCUGGGCUGACACUGACGCUGAUGCGCGAAAGCGUGGGGAGCAAACAGG